UGGGGAAUCUUGGACAAUGGGCGCAAGCCUGAUCCAGCCAUGCCGCGUGAGUGACGAAGGCCUUAGGGUUGUAAAGCUCUUUUGGCGGGGAAGAUAAUGACGGUACCCGCAGAAUAAGCUCCGGCUAACUUCGUGCCAGCAGCCGCGGUAAUACGAAGGGAGCUAGCGUUGUUCGGAAUCACUGGGCGUAAAGCGCACGUAGGUGGGCAGUUAAGUCAGGGGUGAAAGCCCGAGGCUCAACCUCGGAAUUGCCUCUGAUACUGGCUGUCUAGAGUUCGAGAGAGGUGAGUGGAAUUCCUAGUGUAGAGGUGAAAUUCGUAGAUAUUAGGAAGAACACCGGUGGCGAAGGCGGCUCACUGGCUCGAUACUGACACUGAGGUGCGAAAGCGUGGGGAGCAAACAGGAUUAGAUACCCCGUAGUCCCUGAGCGGGCUGGCAAGGCGCAU
rnacentral:rRNA from 1 species